UACGUAGGUGACCAGCGUUGUCCGGAUUUACUGGGCGUAAAGAGCGCGCAGGCGGUCGUUCAAGUCGAGUGUGAAAGCCCCCGGCUCAACUGGGGAGGGUCACUUGAUACUGAUCGACUCGAAGGCAGGAGAGGGAAGCGGAAUUCCCGGUGUAGUGGUGAAAUGCGUAGAUAUCGGGAGGAACACCAGUGGCGAAGGCGGCUUCCUGGCCUGUUCUUGACGCUGAGGCGCGAAAGCAUGGGGAGCGAACCGG
rnacentral:rRNA from 1 species